AUUGAACGCUGGCGGCAUGCCUUACACAUGCAAGUCGAACGGCAGCACGGGAGCAAUCCUGGUGGCGAGUGGCGAACGGGUGAGUAAUACAUCGGAACGUACCUGAUAGUGGGGGAUAGCCCGGCGAAAGCCGGAUUAAUACCGCAUACGACCUGAGGGUGAAAGCGGGGGAUCGCAAGACCUCGCGCUAUUGGAGCGGCCGAUGGCAGAUUAGGUAGUUGGUGGGGUAAAGGCCUACCAAGCCUACGAUCUGUAGCUGGUUUGAGAGGACGACCAGCCACACUGGGACUGAGACACGGCCCAGACUCCUACGGGAGGCAGCAGUGGGGAGUUUUGGACAAUGGGCGCAAGCCUGAUCCAGCCAUGCCGCGUGCGGGAAGAAGGCCUUCGGGUUGUAAACCGCUUUUGUCAGGGAAGAAAUACUCUGGGCUAAUACCCUGGGGUGAUGACGGUACCUGAAGAAUAAGCACCGGCUAACUACGUGCCAGCCGCCGCCGUAA
rnacentral:rRNA from 1 species